rnacentral:rRNA from 1 species
CCCAAGAGUCCAUAUCGACGGCGUUGUUUGGCACCUCGAUGUCGGCUCAUCGCAUCCUGGGGCUGGAGSAGGUCCCAAGGGUWUGGCUGUUCGCCAWUUAAAGCGGUACGUGAGCUGGGUUUAGAACGUCGUGAGACAGUUCGGUCCCUAUCUGCCGUGGGUGUAGGAGAAUUGAGAGGAUCUGCCCCUAGUACGAGAGGACCGGGGUGGACGUACCUCUGGUGGACCAGUUGUCGUGCCAACGGCACAGCUGGGUAGCUAUGUUCGGACAGGAUAACCGCUGAAAGCAUCUAAGCGGGAAACCUACCUCGAAACUAUUUCUCCCUUGAGAACCGUGGAAGACUACCACGUUGAUAGGCCAGGUGUGUAAGUGCAGCAAUGCAUUGAGCUUACUGGUACUAAUCGUUCGAUUGGCUUGAUUACUCUCAUUU